CUUGUGGCCAUAUCAUGUUGAAACACUGAUUCCCAUACGAUCACUGAAGUUAAGUAACAUCAAGCCAGUCAGUAUCUAGAUGGGUGACAGCUUGAAAAUACUAGGUGCUGUGA